rnacentral:misc_RNA from 1 species
GAUGAAGAACGCAGCGAAAUGCGAUAAGUAGUGUGAAUUGCAGAAUUCAGUGAAUCAUCGAAUCUUUGAACGCACAUUGCGCCCUUUGGUAUUCCUUAGGGCAUGCCUGUUCGAGCGUCAUCUAAACCUUCAAGCCCUGCUUGGUGUUGGGUGCCUGUCCCGCCUCCGCGCGUGGACUCACCUCAAAUCCAUUGGCGGCCCCCGCGUCGGCCACGAGCGCAACAGAAACGCGAACUCGUGAGCCCGUCCGGGCGGCUCCCAGAAGCUAACCCCCAAUUUUUGACCUCGGAUCAGGUAGGGAUACCCGCUGAACUUAAGCAUAUCAAUAAGCGGAGGA